rnacentral:rRNA from 1 species
GACGAACGCUGGCGGCGUGCCUAAUACAUGCAAGUAGGACGCAGUUGCGAACGGGUGAGUAACGCGUCUGUAACUACCUAUUAGAGGGGGAUAACUAUUGGAAACGAUAGCUAAUACCGCAUACUAGUAGAUGUACCUGCGUUGUAUUAGCUAGUCGGUAGGGUAAUGGCCUACCUAGGCAACGAUACAUAGCCGAGCUGGGGGGGUGGUCGGCCACACUGGGACUGGGAAACGGCCCAGACUCCUAAGGGAGGCAGCAGUAGGGAAUCUUCGGCAAUGGGGGGAACCCUGACCGAGCAACGCCGCGGGAGUGAAGAAGGGUUUCGGAGCGGAAAGCUCUGUUGUUAAGGAAGCGGUACUUAACCAGAAAGGGACGGCUAACUACGUGCCAGCCGCCGCGGUAAUAC